UCUUCGAUUCACAGGCGAUAGGACCUAUUGAAUAAGGUACUGACUCCUCCCUCUUACUCUGGUCUUUAAAAAUUAAGACAAGGUAUUGAGAAUAUUAAUUUAAACUUGAUUUUGUGCUGCUCUCGUGCCCUGGGCCUUAUUCAUGCUGGGCCAGUACUACCACAGCGUGCUGCCUUCCAGCCCUGAGAAUGUGUGUGAAGUUAUCUCUCUCUUGUUUGUUAUUUACAAAACCUUUAGUAAGACCAUAUUUGGGGAGUAGAUGAUUUUCCCCCUAGAAUGUUACACACUAGGCAACCCCCAGGACAAAAGCCUCACGUCCUGUGUGACACCCUUGUGUUCUUAGGUACAACUGUGAGGAUGAGCGCUGUUACUUAGACCUGGCCAGGCUCAGAGGCAUCUACUACAUCACCUGGCAGAAGCCCAGCAAAGUGUUUCCUCAAGAUAAGGGGCACCAUCCAACUCUGGGGGAGCACCCGAAGUUUACCAACUACUCUUUCGACGUAGAGGAAUUCAUGUACCUUGUCCUGCAGGCUGCAGAACAUGUACUGCAGCACCCGCAGUGGCCGUUGAAGAAGAACCACGAUGAACUAUAGAAAUGCCCAGGUUGUUUACCACGGUGUUGGACACUCCCACAGGCAGACACACAAUCAAAGGAGCAGAACAACCUCUCAUAUCCUACUGUAAGAUGAUUCACGGACUUUACUUCUGAACGUAGCUCAGGCUGGUCUUGAACUCAUGAUCCCCUUGCCUCAGCCAGCUGAGCACUCAGCUUACAGAUGAGCACGACCACGCCUGUCUACAGAAUCACCUUUUCGUGUGAAAGCGCACCUUCAGGGUACUUUAAGUCUCCCCCAUGUCUCUCGUGUCCUGGCUAUUUAUCAGCAGUAUUUUUGCACUGAAAAAAAAAUGUUACUUUUAUAGUUUAGAGCUGGGCAGAUGCCCAUUGGUGUAGCUGAGCUUUCCAGUUGGGACACCAAAGUUGUCACCUUCGGUGGCUUCAGAACUGAUAAGUGUGUUUGUUAACUGUAAGUGGUCGUAAUUCCAGAGUGUCACAGCUUGAUGUUUACCUACUUGGGUAAACUCAGGACUAUUAUUGUUUACCAUUGUGUGUUCAUAAAUAUGGUUUUAGGGGUUGGUUGGGUUUAAUCCCUAGCAACAUACACACAUACUCUCUCUCUCUCUCUCUCUCUCUCUCUCUCUCUCUCUCUCUCUCUCUUUCUCAUGCAUGCACACACGCACACACACACACACACCAGUCCAAGCCUGUGACUAUCAGGACCAAGCUAUAGGAAUGUGCUAUAGACCAGUGUUUAGUCAACUCCAGCUUACGUGCAUCAAGAGCCUGAAAGAAAAUCAUGCUUUUGUAUUUAUUAAUUUGUGUUUCUGUAUCUCUUUUGGAUCAUGUAUGUAAUGGCAAUGUUGAUAGGAACCCACUGGAACAUUCUGCAGUACCAUCUCCACUGACCCUCCAGCCAUGGAGAGCAUUCGUGCUGACUUGCCAGGGAGUCUUAGUUUCCGUCAGGCAAGCGUUUGUAAGCACGGACAGCUAUGGGUAUCCACGUCCGGCAGGAUGAAGGUAACCGUAGCCUUUGUAAAAACUGCCAAGUUGCCACAUGAAGAGAAGACUCUUUCUCUGUUUGUUUUUGUUUUUGUUUUUUAAAGUAAGAGCUUAAAAACACAGUAGACCUGUGAAUUACCCAAUCAAAACAAAAGCCCUAAAAAAGUGGCACAGAGUAAACAGGAUGUGUGAUGCAGGCUUCCCUGCACUGGCUUUAACCGACUGCUGAGCGUACAGCUCCUGGGUUUAUUCUGUUGUACAGUGGGAUGAUGCUUGAGUCUUGUUAACAUUCGAGGCUACUUUUAAUUUCUACAGUGCACUUAGCAAAUCCCAGCCAAGGACUUUAUUUUUAAAUUUUAGAGGAGUGACCUACAAAAUAAAAUAUUGGUAACCAAUGCCUCCUCGGAAGCUUGCUGCCAUUUCCUUUCAGGAUUUGUUAAAAGACUGCAGAGUUUAUUUAUUAUCUUUAAAGGAAAUAGUGACCCUUCGUAGGCAGGACUUCUCUUCGGGUCGUAAAAUUGUUUGGAAAAAAAACUGUAACAUGAGGAAUUGUUGGAUGGCAUGUUUGCCGCUGUUCUAGGUGCAGAAUACUAGGUAGGCGGGGGGAGGAGGGGUGCUCCACAGGAGGGGGCUUGGAAAGAUCCUUUUGCCCUGAUCAUCCGAAGAGAACCAUCCGGAAGACUGCUUCUGGAAAACCGUCGUCCUCCUACCUCAUUGCAAGCAGCACAGGGGCCUGUGUUCACAGACCACCGAGGAUUCCAGAAACUGAGAACAGUCUCACCUGGAAACUGUAUCUGAAUAUUUUGCAUUUAGAAUAUACUUUAUAUAAAGACAGUCAUUUAAAUUUUUAAUUGAUGGGAUUAACUUUUUAUCAGACUUUUUUUGUGGGAGCAGAAGAUCUUCAAAUGGUUGUAAAAUUUAAAGUGUAGACAUGGCCCUUUUUAUUAAGUCUGUAAGGGGACACCUUUCAUUGUACAUUUCAGACAUAGCUUUGGAAUAAAGUUUUCUAUAUUUCAUUUAAAUAUCUGAA
rnacentral:lncRNA from 1 species